AAAGAUGCGUUUAUCUGAUUUAACAGUAUUACUGCCAUCAAGUAAGCCUGAAAUUGUACAAUCUGAUUUGCUGAGCUCACAGCUGGGGUACUUGUAAUUGCUGCUGCCUUCCAUGUGGUUGCUGUGAGUGUUCUAUUUUUCACUGACAGGACAAAGAAAUG